GGAAGUCAGAAAUUUGAAAUGGGCCUCUCUGGACUAAAAUUUGGGGUACGUAGAAUUGUACACCUUCUAGAGGCUCUGGGGAGAAUUUAUUUUCUCAAUUUUCCAGUGCUUAGAAGAUGGCUGCUUCCGUGGCCAAUGGCUUCUCUCCAUUUUCAAGAUCGACAAUAGCCUUCAUUAGUGUGACUCUCCUGGCUACCUCUUGCACUUAACCAUUGCUCCUUGGAUGAAGAAAGGGAUUGCUGUGGUUUGAACAUAUUCCUGAAAUGUCACACGUUGGAAACUUAAUCCUCACUGCAAAUGUUGAGAAAGGAGACCAUUAAGGGGUGGGGAGGUCCUGAGGGGGUCUAUCCUCAUGAAUGGAUCGAUGUCAUUAGCUUGGGAGUGUGUUAUUUAUCACAGAAGUGGGUUCUUCACAAUAGCUUGCUCCAUAUGCUAUUACUCUUGUCCUUUUUUUUUGGUAUCGGGGAUCGAACUCAGAAUCUUGGGCUUGCAAGGCAGGCACAGCGCCACUGAGCUACAUCCUCGGCCCUCUCUUGUCCUUUCUUGCACAUUCACCUUCCUUCUUCUAUCACAGGAUGACACGGUGAGAAGCUUCCCCAGGUGCAGGUGCCAUACCUUUGGACUUCUCAGCCUCCAGAAUGAUAAGAAAUAAAUCUCUGUCCUUCAUAAAUUAACCAGUCUCAGUGGGACAUACCAUUUCUGCAGUCAAAGCUUUCCCUGAUGACUGAAAAGCAACAUAAACUGUGUGGCGGCCGCGGGCCAUGGACUAGGCGAGGGGGAGCCCCUGCCGCUGAGCUGAGGAAGGGAAGCCGUGUUGCUGUGAGGAGCCAGGAGCCACUUUCUAAAAGGUUUAUAAUUUUCCAAAUUGAAUGGCCUGUGACAGAGCUUCAAGAAUCUGUAUUGUAAUUCUCCCUUUGGGUCUGGCCGAAAAUGCUACAUGAUGUCUUCCUCUGGUACUGAUCCCUCUGAUACCAUAGGGUCCUCUGGGUCUUAUGGCCCAGGAGUCAGGACCCCUUGUACUCUGGUUCUACCCUGCACUGACUUGAAGCUGGCAACUUUUUCCAUACCUCUGGGUGUGGUUUGUGUUAUUUUUCCCUGUACAUGAUGCCUUAGAACCC
rnacentral:lncRNA from 1 species